rnacentral:rRNA from 1 species
CAGCCGCCGCGGGAAUACGAAGGGUGCGAGCGUUACUCGGAAUUACUGGGCGUAAAGCGUGCGUAGGUGGUGGUUUAAGUCCGUUGUGAAAGCCCUGGGUUCAACCUGGGAAUUGCAGUGGAUACUGGGUCACUAGAGUGUGGUAGAGGAUAGUGGAAUUUCCGGUGUAGCAGUGAAAUGCGUAGAGAUCGGAAGGAACAUCUGUGGCGAAGGCGACUAUCUGGGCCAACACUGACACUGAGGCACGAAAGCGUGGGGAGCAAACAGGAUUAGAUACCCGGGUAGUCCCUGUCUCUUAUAC